GGACACAACUCUGGAGAGUCUCGUUACAUCGAGCGCCGAAGGUGCAAGGAAGUAUUUCCGAAUCUCUCAGGCAAAAGGACAGGGGGUCGUCA
rfam:Dialister sp. CAG:588 genomic scaffold, scf85